UACGGGGGAGCAAGCGUUGUUCGGAUUUACUGGGCGUAAAGGGCGCGUAGGCGGCCGUGGUACAGUCACUUGUGAAAUCUCCGGGCUUAACUCGGAACGGUCAAGUGAGAUACUGUGCGUAGAGUGCAGAAGGGCAACUGGAAUUCUCGGUGUAGCGGUGAAAUGCGUAGAUAUCGAGAGGAACACCUGCGGCGAAGGCGGGUUGCUGGCUGACACUGACGCUGAUGCGCGAAAGCCAGGGAGCGAACGGG
rnacentral:rRNA from 1 species